rnacentral:rRNA from 1 species
GCAAGUCGAGGGGUAACAGGGAGUGCUUGCACUUUGCUGACGACCGGCGCACGGGUGCGGAACGCGUAUGGAACCUACCUCUAUCAGGAGAAUAGCCCAGAGAAAUUUGGAUUAAUGCUCCAUAGUAUUGGAUUGACACAUGUUAAUUUAAUUAAAGAUUUAUCGGAUAGAGAUGGCCAUGCGUACCAUUAGUUAGUUGGUAAGGUAACGGCUUACCAAGACAUCGAUGGUUAGGGGCCCUGAGAGGGGGAUC